GGAGGAAACCCAUUUCCAGUGCCUAGAUUGCAUGUAGUUUGAGAAACUCCGGGAUUGGCAGAGCAAUUGACUUCACCGAGCUCUCUGGUGAGCAUGAAUAAUAAUUACGAGGUGACUCUCGGAGAGGUUCUCUCUCUCUCUCUUUCUCUCUCUCUCUCUUUUUGCAUAAAAUGGUUCCGCAAUCCGAUUCCGCCCGAGAUCCAAUAUUUACCCGGUCGUAAACCUUGUGCCAUCAGAUUUUUUAAACCCGAAGGUGAUGCAAUGCCGAUAAGUUGCAAGUCCCACCCCUAUGGAAGUACCAGAGCGCUGGCGGCGAGCAUCCUUAAAGAAAUAUCAAUAUAUUUACGCUCUGAUGGGCACAAUCGCAAAUGAUGGUAUUGCAAUACGAGCUCUAUCAUACGGAAUCAGGAGAGCCAUGGUCGAUCCGGCUUCAGCUGCCUUUUGUUUCUUCCCACGGAGAGGGACACUGCUCCCCUCGUACAGCCGCGCAUUGAACCACAGUCACGUUUCAGCUGAUAAAUGACUGCUUUGGAGGAAGGAAAAGCCGAUAGGAGGAGGCGGCCGGGUGCCCGUCUGCAUCAUGCGGACACCUCAGGAGCGUUUAUUAAGAAAUAAAUAAAUAAGUAAAUAAAUAAAUAAUUUAAAAAAACCCCAAAAAACCAGAGCGGUCCCCAUUGAAAAUAACGCAGCGCGUCGGGUAAGUGGCCGCAGUCGGUGAUGGCACAGCGCUGCGCUUUGUUCUGCGCUCCGAGCGGCUCUCUCGGCUCUCACACCUCCUCGCGGGGUGUCAUUAAGUUUUGAAGGAGAGCGACGCGCUGAAAGCAUCCGCAAACACAAUUAGCAGCGAUCGAUCCCGGCAAAGUGAAUGGCGGGGGGAUAAGUUUAAUGUGAAAUUAAUUGUUAUCUCGUGCAGCGUGGCAAGUGAUGUCUUUAUCCCCGGUCUCCAAAAGCGACUGAUCAGACAAAGGUGUUGAGAGACGAGCAGAACUGCGGCGAUGGGGCUGAUAGAGCAGGUCGGGGGGAAAGGCAGGGUCCCGUGUGGGCAAACACCGCUGCAAAGAGCUCCUCUGCUUCUGCUCCGGAGAGCACGCGAUUUGUGCCAGGGUCCCGAAACUUGAAGGAGCUUUUUGGAAGUUCUCAAAAGUCCCGAGAUGACACGCCGAAGUGAGCCGAAGUCCUUAGCAAAAAUAAUAAACAAAAAUCAGCUUUAUUUGAGGAAAAACAAAAUGCAGCUCUUUGGAGUGGGAGAUGAUACGGGGAGUUUUCCCGUCUGAGUUGUAAUCCGCUGAAAGCGCGUGAAAAUGGACUUUCAAAUGAGUUUUUAAGUGGUUGAAAAAGAAUCAAGGAAAAGUUGCAUGCCAUGAACCGCAACAUGGAGGACCACCCCAACAUGCGAGGGACAAAGUGAUCUUUCUUAGGUAAACUUUAGAGGAAGAGCUGAAAGAAGUGAUCGGAAACUCUCAGAUCGACUUUUCCCUCCCGUGCACCCACUCUUCUCUUCUGUUACUUAAGGCUUCCCUGUCACCUUCCAGUCAAGCACUGCUUUCUCUUUCCCAACUUGGAAUUUCGGCGUUUUUAACGUGGGGAUGGGUAAGGAGUGAGGAAGGCAGCCGCGUGUCUGCGAGGUUUUUGUCAGCCCAUCGAGCUGCAGAAACAAGCCGUCUAACAGCCAAACGCCCGCUUCGUGCCAUGAAAAACACACUCAAGUUUUAUCUUCCCGUCUGCGUGCAUGCGAGAAGACAGAUACAAGGAAUAUGUAAUUUAUACAAAAGAGGGUAUGUUCUUUUGAUGUGGUUGCUUAAACAGCAUGACUUGAUGUAAGAGUUGAUUAAACAGUGCCAAGGAAUAAAAGCUGCCCCUAA